UCAGUUAACGAUAGGUCAACUCUCCGAUGCACUGGGGAGGGACGUCCAGCCCCUGCUGCCAGCACCCUCCCCAGAAACACCUCUGGGCUCCCAAUUCUCGCUGCUUCCCCCUCCCCCAGCAGCAAGGGACCCAGGCGUCCGACCUGGUUGAGAGGGGAUGGAGAUGAGGAGGCGUAUGAAGAAUGGGGGUGUAGAGUGAGGGGGAGGGGAGCUGGGGGUAGCUCGGAGCUUGGGCGGUCAGGAUGUGAGGGUCGGGAUUUGAAAAAAAAGGUGAGGAGACAAUUUGGUUUUCGUGUCGCUGGGUAAAGUGCGGAGCUGGAAGAGAGAAGGAGGGAGGAGGGAGGGAGGGGGAGGGGAGCUGCUGAGGGAUGGGGGAGCCUCCGAGAGGAGAGGGAUUGGGGGGAAGGGAAGUGGUUGGGGAGCAGGGUCUGAGUGGCAGAAGGAAGCUGAGGAAGAAGAGAAACAGAUCCAGAGAGGGAGGGAGACGGAGAGAGACAAGGAGAAUCGGAAAGACAGAGAGACCCAGAGACUGAGAACAGAGGUGGGGGAGGGAAGAAUUUGGGGGAGGCAGUGACUGGUAGCAGAAGGAAGUUGAAGAGACACACACACAGAGAAAUAUCCAGAGAGAGAAGGGGACAGAAGCAGGAAGAGAUGCAAAGAAAGAACAGCAAGAGAUGAGGGAGAAAUAGAAGGCUUAUUUAACCCUGACGGAAAAGGAGGAUGUCGUUCGGUUCUCAUCAAGACAAGAAUCAGGCUGGGGAACAAAGAGGAUAGAUAAACGUAUCCAGGACUGGGCUGGAGAACUAGGCAACAGUUGUGAAUAUUGCUGUCACUUCUAGAACUAAUCAGUGAGUAUGGGAUGGGCCAAGUUAAGGUAGAAAAACAGACGAUUUUAACUUUGUUCUUGGUCUGAGUUUCAGGAAUGUCCCCUGGCUUCUGGGUGACCUUGGACCAAAUAUUUCCUGUCCUUCUAAACUCAGCCUUUUGGAGGACCAGAGUUACCUUGAUUUGAUGAGAACAACCUGGGAAGUCCCCUCACACAUUUUUUUAAGACCGAUGUAAAUUGAGCCAGGUAUGGUGGUGCACAUUUGUGAUCCCAGAGGGGUAAAGACAGAAGCAUCAGAGUUCAAGGUUGUCCUUGUCUAUAUAGGGAGUUUGAGGUCAGCCUAAGCUACGUGGGCAUGGGGGUUGGGGGCGAAGGAAAACACCACCAUAGAAACCUGAAGAACUAGCCAAGGUUUGUCUCUCUCUUCGGCUAGACAGCCCACAAACCACUUUAUCUCAAGAAAUUCUUACAAAAUAUUUGCCAAGUGGUCAGGCAGAGACUCUGAGAUGGGAAGCCAUUCACCCAAGAUCACCCAGGGAAUACAAGGCAGAGCUGGGUUGAAGCAGCCUUUUUGUGGAGAAAGACCAGCAAUGGUGUCCACAGAAGCCAGAAGAGGUGUCAGAUCCCUCAGAGGAUUGUGAGCUGCUCAACGUAGGUGCUGAGGACGCAACUCUGGCCCUUAUAACCAAGCGUUAUUCUCCAAACCCUUGAGGGAUAUUUGACAACCAGAUACUCCCUUCCUUUCUCCUGCCCCAACCUCCAACACCACGUUCUCCAGUUUUGAGUUCUGAUGUUAUCAAUGAUAAACCCUGAAGCGACUCCUGUCUUCACUGGGAACAUGGCAAUUAGACCACGUCAUUCUACUUUUAAACUCUAAGGUAUUGAUAUAAUGCAUGGAGUUCUGUUCGGUUGGAUUUUUGAGAUGGGGUCUUGUGUAGCCCAGGCUGGUCUUGAUCUCACUACGUAGCCAAGGAUGACUUUGAACAUCUGAUCCUCUUACCCCAACCACCUCCUGAGUAGUGGAAUGACACAAGUUUGGUAGCUGUGAGACAAGGUCUCACUACGUAGCCCUGGUUGUCUGGAACUCUUUACAUAGUCUAUCCCGUCCUUGAACCCAUAGAGAUCUGCCUGUCUUUGCCUCCUACGCACUACGAUUAAAGUUGUAUGCCACCAUACCCAGUGCUUUUAAUGUUCAUUCAGAACAGGGUCUUGCUGUGUAGUCUGGGCAGACUGCUCGAAAACUCUGUUUUCCUGCCUUGGCCUCCAGAGAGGUUACAGACAUGUGCCCGAUAGCUUUGGGAGCUAUGACUUCAGUGGGCUGUCACAGAGCUGCAGUGAAAGUGCCUGGUCUGGAAUCCCAGACUUAUCGCUGACCCACUAUUCCUCUGCUUCUGCUUCCACAGGGUUAAAUGAAGCUACUGGUCCUGGGGAGACGGCUCAGUGGGCAGAAGUGCCUGUCGUGCAUGCCAGACUUCGAUCCCUGAAACCCCCAAAGGUGGAAGGAAAGAACUGACUUCCCAAGGCUUUCCUCUGGCCUCCACAACUAUGCCUUUGCACUCCUGACCACACAGACAUCAUAUACACACAGACAUGCACACAGAUAGUAACAGUGACAUCGAUGAUGAUAAUAAAAACCUUAAAUGGAGAUACUAAUAGUCAAGGAAAUAAUGCAAUUCACAUAGGGCAGACCUGCCCAAUCCUAAACAAGUCUGUGGUGACACUACCAAUACCAACACAUGUAUGUAAUCAUCCACUUAUUUCUACUUUGUUCCGCUUCUGUUUUUUGUUUUUUGUUUU
rnacentral:sRNA from 1 species